UCCACCUUUCUCCUGAAUCUCUCCUACCGAACUCCUCUCACACUCUUCUACUCCCGAAUCCCUCUCAUGCAUACGCGCACUCUCUCCCCAUCCCAUGCCCUUUCCAUCCAACCCCUCUCCGAUGAACCUCUCCUCGUGAACCUCUCCGAUGAACCUCUCCUCGCGAACCUCUCCGAUGAACUCACUCCUCUCUGUCUAAUGAUCCUUUGCCGAAUCCCUCUCCCACUCAAUCUAAAAUUUCCUCACCCUAGACAGCGGGCAAAAUUUUCUCGCCUUAUUUCUUCACCUCUUCGUCAAACAACAAAUGCCCUGAUCUCUUCCCUUCCAGUUCACUAUAGCCCCUAACAACAAAGUACUUGUGGACCUCGAUCUUCCGUUAUGCAGGCCCAAGUGGUUUCGGACGACGAGAAGGAGUACACCCACUGCACCUACGACUCCGGCAUCGUGACUGGACUUAGCGUCGAUGCCUUCCUCUUGCUUGCUGUUGGCGAGUCAGUACCAUCAAGGAAUCUGUCGCAUUGCCUCCUUCGUUCUUCUCUCAUGAUCUAGGGAGGGAUUCGCCGAUGGCUCUCCUCUUCCGCAAGACCUAUAUUCUUUCAAGGUGAUAGUUGGUGAAAUUAUGAAUUUUAUUGCAUACAUCUUUGCCCUAGUUGUUUUUGUUACACCACUGGGUGCCUUGAUCAUUAUUGUCAGGUAAGAAAUGUUGAAUCUCAAAGUUCUAGAAAUACAACUUUUAAUUAAUAUCAGAAAAUAGCUUUUGGCUGAGAAAUGGUAGAUACAGUGCUAUUUUGGCCCAUUUCAUUCUGAAUGAGAGGUUGCAGAGGAUGGGAGUCUUAGGUUGCAUGCUCUGCAUUGUCGGUUUGACAGUCAUCGUGUUCCAUUCCCCAUAGGAGAAGUCGUAACGCUGUUGAGCAAAUUUGGUAUUUGUCAACCCAAUCUGAUAUGUUGUAGUGAUAAUUUUGUGCUUGGUAUAUUGUAAAUAUAAUUUAGAUCGAUGGUUGUGCAAUUCAAUCUCCCUGCUAUGUUUUCAUGUAAAUUUGCAUCUGAUGCAUGAUAUAUUUCUUGUUUUCCCAUCAUUCUUUUGUACACAGCAUCUGCAGUUGCAGUUUCCCUAGUGCUCAUGUUGCAUUGUGCACCACAAUUUGGGUAAACAAAUAUAAUAGCUUACUUAGGUGAUAAGUAUUAAGGUGAAUAAUAAUCAAGCUCACAUUAGAUGGUAUCAACCAAGCUGGCUACUUCCAAACAUGGGUUUUCACUAUGCUCGCAAUUUCCUACAUUGUAGUUCAAUGAAUUAGAUAUUUUGAAGGUGAAUGGAGGUAUUCAGAAACUCCAACUAAAUAGUUCGGGUAUGGAUGAUUACAGGAGUAGUAACUACAUGCUAUGUGACACUACAUCCGAACCCUAGGGGUGUGAUUGGGAAGUACUUCGAUGAAGAACUAUUAAGAAGGCUUCGGGAUUUAAACGAGAAGAUGGUUAAAGCCAAUGAGUAAAGAACAUUCAAGUCAAGAGGAUAAGUAACAUCUAUCAAGAUCCUUUAAGUUCAUGCAAUAAGAUGUAGUCGAUAGGAGUAAUUUUAAGUGUCUCCUAAUUAAAAUUUCUUUGUAUGCGAGUAAUUAUAUUUGUUAUAGAAGUGUAAGGAUGAUAAUUUAUAUAUUUAUCUUGGUUGUUUAUUUAA